rnacentral:rRNA from 1 species
ACGAACGCUGGCGGCGUGCUUAACCCAUGCAAGUCGAACGGAAAGGCCCUGCUUUUGUGGGGUGCUCGAGUGGCGAACGGGUGAGUAACACGUGAGUAACCUGCCCUUGACUUUGGGAUAACUUCAGGAAACUGGGGCUAAUGCCGGAUAGGAGCUCCUGCUGCAUGGUGGGGGUUGGAAAGUUUCGGCGGUUGGGGAUGGACUCGCGGCUUAUCAGCUUGUUGGUGGGGUAGUGGCUUACCAAGGCUUUGACGGGUAGCCGGCCUGAGAGGGUGACCGGCCACAUUGGGACUGAGAUACGGCCCAGACUCCUACGGGAGGCAGCAGUGGGGAAUAUUGCACAAUGGGCGGAAGCCUGAUGCAGCAACGCCGCGUGCGGGAUGACGGCCUUCGGGUUGUAAACCGCUUUCGCCUGUGACGAAGCGUGAGUGACGGUAAUGGGUAAAGAAGCACCGGCUAACUACGUG